rnacentral:rRNA from 1 species
GACGUAGGGCGCGAGCGUUGUCCGGAUUUAUUGGGCGUAAAGAGCUCGUAGGCGGCUUGUCGCGUCGAUCGUGAAAACUCGAGGCUCAACUUCGAGCUGUCGGUGGAAACUUUCUGGCUAGAGUCCGGAAGAGGAGAAUGGAAUUCCUGGUGUAGCGGUGAAAUGCGCAGAUAUCAGGAAGAACACCCGUGGCGAAGGCGGUUCUCUGGGACGGUACUGACGCUGAGACGCGAAAGCGUGGGGAGCGAACAGG